GAUGAAGAACGCAGCGAAAUGCGAUAAGUAAUGUGAAUUGCAGAAUUCAGUGAAUCAUCGAAUCUUUGAACGCACAUUGCGCCCGCUAGUAUUCUGGCGGGCAUGCCUGUUCGAGCGUCAUUUCAACCAUCAAGCCCCCGGCUUGUGUUGGGGACCUGCGGCUGCCGCAGGCCCUGAAAUGCAGUGGCGGGCUCGCUGUCACUCCGAGCGUAGUAGUUACAUCUCGCUCUGGGCGUGCUGCGGGUUCCGGCCGUUAAAAGCCUUAUUUACCCAAGGUUGACCUCGGAUCAGGUAGGAAGACCCGCUGAACUUAAGCAUAUCAAUAAGCGGAGGA
rnacentral:misc_RNA from 1 species